UCUGGUGGCAAUAGCGAAGAGGUCACACUCACACCCGUUCCCCAUCCCGAACACGGCAGUUAAGCUCUUCAGCGCCGAUGGUAAUAAGGGGCUUCCCCUUGUGAGAGCAGGACGUUGCCAGGC
rnacentral:rRNA from 1 species